AACUUAUGGUGUGAGCAUUUUUGAAUCAAUGUUUUAAAACAUUCCCAAGCCUCAUAAAAAUUUCUCCUUUCAUCUAUCUAAAGACAACAAUCUCUCUUCUUAGUU
rfam:Gossypium hirsutum cultivar TM-1 chromosome 1, whole genome shotgun sequence